rnacentral:rRNA from 1 species
UACGUAGGGUGCGAGCGUUGUCCGGAAUUAUUGGGCGUAAAGAGCUCGUAGGCGGUCUGUCGCGUCGAAUGUGAAAACCCGGGGCUCAACUCCGGGCUUGCAUUCGAUACGGGCAGGCUAGAGUUCGGUAGGGGAGUCUGGAAUUCCUGGUGUAGCGGUGAAAUGACGCAGAGUAUCAGGAGGAACACCGGUGGCGAAGGCGGGUCUCUGGGCCGAUACUGACGCUGAGGAGCGAAAGCGUGGGGAGCGAACGG